rnacentral:siRNA from 1 species
AACCCAAUUAACAACUCAACCCA